CUCGCCCGGCCCGGCCCGGCCCGACCGCACCUCCGCUCUGCCCUCUCCGGGUGCCGCGCUGCCCGGCCCGGGCCUGGCGUUUCCUUCUCCGCGGGACUGAAUCCCUCUGGCCCUCCCGCUGCUGCCGGCGGACCCAGGCACCGCCUCCUGCAGCACCCGGGCCUGGGGGGCAAGAGGAGGCAGGGGGCUACUUUGCAUCCGUGCCCUGACCUACGGCUCUCCUGCAGGCAGAGUGGAAAAGAACUGAUUUGCAGCUCAAAUACUGGACACACCGUUAGAUGCCGAUGUCUGUGUUAAAGUAAUAGUAACGACAGUAGUAGUAGUAGUAGUAGUACUAAUAAUAAUGAUAAUAAUACUUAUAAUAGUAAUAAUAAUAAUUCCUCAGUCAUAAACGCGCAGGUGCUGCCUGGGCAGUGUGGAAUGUGCGCGAGGUACGAGAGCCGGGCGGCAGCGAGGGAAGAGACAGCAUGCUGUCUCCGGAGGGGCAGCGGGGAGGGAUGGAGGGACACCCGGAGCGCAUGAGAGGCGACAGAGACACGCGGCGGCUGUCGGGAACCCCUGCCUGAAGCUGUUACACAGCAAAGAGCAUCAAUUGGUAGGGACUGUGAAGCCUCAGAGCACCUCAGGCUGUCAGCUUUGAUGCAAAUCUGACGACGGGCUUCUUAAGUUUGGGACCUCCCACCAUUUCCGCGCAGCAAGGUUGGGCCACACUCAUUACUAAUGAGCCAGUAGAAGAAGAAAAAAAAAAAAAAAAAAAAAGCAUGCCCUGAUCGGAUUCAAGAUGCUUCAAUGAAAUGCUUCGGGAAAUACAAGCGUUUCUCAACAUAGUUAUUUCCUUGGGAAUAUUCCAAACAGAUGAAAUCAAAGUGAUAACUCACUUCUAUGUCUGUGCAUGCAGCCCUACUAACUUUGCCUCUAGCGAUUUCCUCUUUGUUUAAAGCAUAGUAAGCAUAGCCUGUGUGGUAUGCUUAUAGCACACGGAGACAUCUAGCGCCUAAAUAAUAGACUGCAAAUCAGCUUCAUUAAUCUGAAAUCUUGGAGAUCACAGUCGGAUCCAUUGCUCGCAAUGUUCCACCCCAGGACUGCAGGGUACAGAGCAGUUUUACUGCAAACCAUUGCACCAGUGAAUAGCAGCUACCCGUGGAAGGGAGCGCAGGCAGGGAGCGCGGUGAAAUGAGCAGCUGCACUAGCUGAGGAGGCGACUGUGACUGCAGCUCUGCUGCACAGCUUGAGCUUCAGGCCUGAGAGUUACAGCAGUAACUGACUCAAGAGAGAGAUUUGCCUGUAUAGACACAGAAAGGGUUGAGACAGUUCCUAACUUGCCUUUGUCACUAAACCACAGAGAGGAAAGCCUGUAGGUGUAUGAAUAAGAAAGUUUCAUCUUGGCUUUGACAGUAUGUGUCUACCUCUAUUCUUUUUUUUGUUGGGCCAGGAGCACAAUCAUUCUAACACAUGUAAUUGUAAAACUUUUCCUCUUUUCAACAAACAUAUGCAAACUGAAUACUUACAUUUACCAAUUACUUUGGCUGAAAUUAAACUGAAGGUAAGCACUGCUUAUCUACUAGAAAGAUAUUAGUCCAAGAACAGAAAGUAUUUACUUUUUUUGUAUACUUGUCUAAAGAAAGAAGAAAUACAGAUUGCUGAUCAACAUUCUCGGCCAGAAGCCUGAAAAAAAAGGUCGUUUCAGUGAUACCCCAGUGCAGAUGUUUUUGCCAGUACUACUGUAUAGGGGCAUAAAGUAAAACAUUUCUACCUACUUAAAUAGUCUGAAACUAAAUAUAUUGCAUUAGGUAUGUGUGUAGGAGUGCACACAUAUGUAUAUUUUAGACAACCCACAUAAUACGUUCUUUUCAGUCUCAGACAGGUCACAAACACCUCUGAGCUAUAAAAGCACUAGCUCAUAGGACCAUAGAAAAAUUAAGGCUUGAAAAGACCUUUAAGAUCAUUAAGCUCAGCUGUCAACCCAGCACCACAAGCAUGUUCACCAUUAAAGCAUGUCCUCAAGCGCCAUAUCCACAGUUUUUUUGAACACUUCCAGUGAUGGUCACUGCACCACGCUUUACAACCCUUUCUGUCAAAAAAGAAAAUUCAAAAAUUGAAUCUAAACCUCCUCUGGUGCAAAUGAGA